UACACAUGCAGUCCGACGUGAAAGGGGAAGCAAUCCCCCGGUAGGGUGGCGAACGGGUGAGUAAGACAUGGGAAUCUGUCCCGGAGAUGGGGAUAUCCUUCCGAAAGGAGGGUUAAUACCGAAUACCGUCCGGUGGACGAGAGUCCAUCGGGGAAAGGGAGGCCUCUGGCAACAUGCUUCCGCUCCGGGAGGAGCCCAUGGCCCAUCAGCUAGUUGGGAGGGUAACGGCCUACCAAGGCGAAGACGGGUAGCUGGUCUGAGAGGACAACCAGCCACACUGGCACUGAGACACGGGCCAGACUCCUACGGGAGGCAGCAGUGAGGAAUAUUGCGCAAUGGGGGCAACCCUGACGCAGCAACGCCGCGUGUGGGAAGAAGGCUUUCGGGUUGUAAACCACUUUUGCCCGGGACGAAAGGGAGUGCCCGAAUACGGCAGUCCGAUGACGGUACCGGGAGAAUAAGCCACGGCUAACUCUGUGCCAGCAGCCGCGGUAAGACAGAGGUGGCAAGCGUUGUUCGGAGUUACUGGGCGUAAAGAGUCUGUAGGUGGUCUGUCAAGUCUUUGGUGAAAGGCCGUGGCUUAACCAUGGGAAUGCCAAAGAGACUGGCAGACUGGAGGCUGGGAGAGGGAAGCGGAAUUUCUGGUGUAGCGGUGAAAUGCGUAGAUAUCAGAAGGAAGGCCGGUGGCGAAGGCGGCUUCCUGGAACAGACCUGACACUGAGAGACGAAAGCGUGGGGAGCAAACAGGAUUAGAUACCCUGGUAGUCCACGCCCUAAACGAUGGGUACUAAGUGUGGGAGGGUUAAACCUCCCGUGCCGCAGCCAACGCAGUAAGUACCCCGCCUGGGGAGUACGGCCGCAAGGUUGAAACUC
rnacentral:rRNA from 1 species